GAUGGCGUAGACAACAAUAGAGGGCUCGCAGUUGGCGUACGACGCCUCCUGGCUGCCAUGUUGGAAGACCACCGCCUUUAUUCUUCUGACAACAACAACCGAGUGGCUUCCCCAAACUAAAUGAUAACAGUGCCUAAAGAGUUGAUUCAUUACCACGGCUCCCCAGUUGACCUCUAUUAUUAAGACACCCAUGCUGACUGGAUACCCACUGUGAAGAUGAGCAAUGCUGCAGAAGCAUCCGUUUCUACUUCUAGUACUUUGUCCUUUUCCAAAUAUGAAAGGAGACUUCACUCAAUUAUACAAGAUGGUUGUUAUAUGAUGUGCUUUGGUCAAUCUGAAUGAUUCUGUUGAUUCCAUUUGAGUAGAGCACCUUCACUUUGUCAAGACAAAACUGUAUGAGUAUGUCAAAUGUCAUUUGGAACAUGUAAAAUACAACUGUUUAUGAUAUUGUAAACAUACUGUACUUUUUGUAUGGGUGAAAUUAAAAUAGUAAUCUUUG